rnacentral:lncRNA from 1 species
UUCUGGCCAUUCUUGUUCAAGUUGCAGGACAUGAAGAUGUGGGGAAAAGCCGGACGUGGGCGUGCAACACGCGUGUUGGGCGCGAACGUGGAACGGGCGCAGAGGCUGUGGGACGUGCGGCGGCUGAGACUCUCAAGUAGCUUAGGGUUUCCUUAUUUCCUGAUUUGAGCCAUUAGAGUUUGGGUUUGUAGUUGGGCCUGGUGUAACUAAAUUUGGACUACUGUUUUUUUGUUUUUCUGUAUAUGUAUGGGCCCGGGC